rnacentral:snRNA from 1 species
GAAUAUUAAAGUCAGUUUAAGUG